UUCCUUUGCUCCAAAGAAAAUCUCAGCCCUAGCCCUCGCUGUUGCGCGUGCACGCACCGUGGAGCAAUGUCCCAUUACUGUUUAACUGUAGUUUAAGGGGUAGGAGGGAGGGCUAACAUCCCCUCAAAAUUGAGAUUUUCGAUGGGCACCCUCAAAGCGCUUCAGUUGUGACUUGCUCCCACAAUACCUUGCGAGAAAACGGAAAAUCAAGAAAUAUCCUAGACAAGAUGGAGGACAAAAAGAUGCGACAGGAUUGGAAAAACACAAAUGACUUCGUUGAGUCCACUGCCACCAGCCCCCCCCACCUCUCCCUCAUGCUCCUCCACCCCAGGCACCUCUUCCACCACCCCAGACACCCCUUCCAAGAGGAGAGUGCCAGGGGGCAGGCGAGGCAUGAGGAGAGCGAGGCAAAGUUGGCGAAAUGGUGGAGAAGAUGUGAUUCUCCACCAUUCUCUCAAAAGCUGAGAGAGAGAGAGUGUGUGUGUGUGUGUGUAUUUUUAGGUGUGUGUUUGUGUGUAUUUUUAGAUGUGUGGUUCAGUGUUUCUUAUUUAAAUAAAGGGUUUCUUCUAAA